rnacentral:rRNA from 1 species
UGACUUGUGGAUCGGAGUGAAAGGCUAAUCAAGCUCGGAGAUAGCUGGUUCUCCUCGAAAGCUAUUUAGGUAGCGCCUCACGUAUCACUCCAGGGGGUAGAGCACUGUUUCGGCUAGGGGGUCAUCCGACUUACCAAACCGAUGCAAACUCCGAAUACCUGGAAGUGUCAGCGUGGGAGACACACGGCGGGUGCUAACGUCCGUCGUGAAAAGGGAAAC